CCCUGUAAACGUGUGAUAUAAUUAAUGGAUGACCCCCCUCGCGCGACAUGUUUCGGAAAGCCUAGGUAAUGUAUGGUAUAAUUAUAAAUAAACAACAAAACAUAGAAAACACCCAUAACUCGGCAACAAAUCGUCUUCCUCGCGCUGUCCUGCAUUUUUGUCACGGCUCAUGGGAGCCUGGAGCUCGCUUGGCAACAAAUCCCAAGAAUUGACGUAGGUACUAGUUUUUACGAAAGCGACUGCCAUCUCACCUUCCAAGCCAGACGGUAAAUUAAGCCUUAUUGGAAUUACAGUUUCCUCACGACGUUUUCCUUCACCGAAAAGCGACUGGUAAAUAUCAAGUGAUAUUUCGCACAUAAGUUCCGAGAAACAAAUUGGUACGAGCCGGGGUUUGAACCCGCGACCUCCGGAUGGAAAGUCGCACGCUCUUACAGGUAGGCCACCAGCGCUUCUUCAUAAAUCGGGAACAAAUAUUUGUGAUAAACACACAAAUAAACGCCCUUACCAGGUUUUUGAACCCGGGACCUCUCGCUUCGCAGGCAGGGUCACUACCGAUUAGGCUAGGAGGAUGAGUAGGAACUAUAAGUGAGUUAAACCCUUAACAAAGAUAAUUGAUUGUAAUAGAGAGGUAAAGUCUAAGAAAAAAACGUGCCCCUUAGUUUGAAAUCCAAAACAGAUGGCACUGUACUGCGCCAUAUCAAAGAGAAUAGAGCUUAUACAAAAUCAAUAUUUAAUAAGUACAUAUCAGUGAAAGAAUAGUUUUAAUUAGGGAUUUUUAAUAUGUUCUAUCGAAAUAUAGCAGUAAAUGUACAGUGGUUACAUAAUUCACCAUGACAGUAACUCUCUAUAUCAAAUUCUCUUUGGCCAUAUGUUUUGCGGUCACUGAAUUGUCAUUCCUCAACUUUUGACAAUCUGAGUUACCGCAAAAUGUAUAGAGCUGUACAGCGCCAUCUUGUUUAAGUACCCGUCAAAUUCGAAGCACGAAAUUGUCUAAGAUUUUACGCAACUUAAGCGCCACUUGCACCAUCCCACUAACCCGGGGUUAACCGGUUAAAACGUUGAUAAGUAAUCAGUAAAAUUUGACACUGGGUUAACGGUUUAACCGUUUAACCCUGGGUUAGUGGGAUGGUGCAAGCGGCGCU